rnacentral:rRNA from 1 species
UACGUAGGUGACCAGCGUUGUCCGGAUUUACUGGGCGUAAAGAGCGCGCAGGCGGUCGUUCAAGUCGAGUGUGAAAGCCCCCGGCUCAACUGGGGAGGGUCAUUCGAUACUGAUCGACUUGAAGGCAGGAGAGGGUAGUGGAAUUCCCGGUGUAGUGGUGAAAUGCGUAGAUAUCUGGAGGAACACCGGUGGCGAAGGCGGCAUUCUGGACCGAAACUGACACUGAGGCGCGACAGCGUGGGGAGCAAACAGG